GACGAACGCUGGCGGCGUGCUUAACACAUGCAAGUCGAGCGGAAAGGCCCUUCGGGGUACUCGAGCGGCGAACGGGUGAGUAACACGUGGGCAAUCUGCCCCGCGCUCUGGGAUAACUCCGGGAAACCGGGGCUAAUACCGGAUAGGAACCCCUUAGGCAUCUUUGGGGUUGGAAAGUUUUUCGGCGCGGGAUGAGCCCGCGGCCUAUCAGCUUGUUGGUGGGGUAAUGGCCUACCAAGGCAGUGACGGGUAGCCGGCCUGAGAGGGCGACCGGCCACACUGGGACUGAGACACGGCCCAGACUCCUACGGGAGGCAGCAGUGGGGAAUAUUGCGCAAUGGGCGAAAGCCUGACGCAGCGACGCCGCGUGAGGGAUGACGGCCUUCGGGUUGUAAACCUCUUUCAGCAGGGACGAAGCGCAAGUGACGGUACCUGCAGAAGAAGCACCGGCCAACUACGUGCCAGCCGCCGCGGUAA
rnacentral:rRNA from 1 species